UGUUUGGUUUGUUACGUGUGGUUGGCUGCGGCGUUUGCAACAACUUCCAUGCUCUCAGACCUCUUCAGUUGUGCGGCAAGGCUUGUAUCGCCUUGAGCGUAUCGUGGGUUUUCUGUGUUGGCUACCUAAUCGACGGUAUCGUUUGGAUUGAUCAAAGUGUGAUUUCGUCUUCCGUCGCGUUCGCGGCGUGAGGUGAACCUUGACGCGGUCUCUUUGAUCCAUCUCGUCGAAGCACAUGCUUUGACGUUGUGGCACAUUGAGCAUUGCUUGGUCUCAUGUGUACGGAACACGUAGCGGGCAUGGAUCUAACGAUUCUUGUUUGCCCUCAUAUUAGCGUAACGCUUCUCAAACACGACUUGCANCGCGUUUUAACUCGUACGGACGUGGUGCUAUGUCGCAGAGGAAUGCUACCUGGUUGAUCCUGCCAGAGUCNAUGU
rnacentral:misc_RNA from 1 species